GUGUCAGCAGCCGCGGUAAUACGUAGGGGGCGAGCGUUGUCCGGAUUUAUUGGGCGUAAAGGGCGUGUAGGCGGUCUUGUAAGUCGGGGGUGAAAACCCAGAGCUCAACUCUGGGACUGCCUCCGAUACUGCGAGACUUGAGUGCUCUAGAGGGCAGUGGAAUUCCCGGUGUAGCAGUGAAAUGCGUAGAGAUCGGGAGGAACACCAGUGGCGAAGGCGACUGCCUGGGGAGUAACUGACGCUGAGGCGCGAAAGCUGGGGGAGCAAACGGGAUUAGAUACCCCGGUAGUCCCAGCCGUAAACGAUGAGUGCUAGGUGUGAGGGGUAUCGACCCCCCUCGUGCCGGAGUUAACGCAAUAAGCACUCCGCCUGGGGAGUACGGCCGCAAGGUUGAA
rnacentral:rRNA from 1 species